GCUCCGGUGGCCAAGUGGUUAGAGCGUCCGCCUCGGAUGCGGGAGGUGGUGGGUUUGAUCCCCGAUUGAGUCA